UGCCUCGGUGCUGGAAGGAGUGGAAGCACGAUGGAGAGGGAGCCCCUUGUCUAUGGCAAAGCCCUGAUGCUCAGGCAGGCUGCAAAGACAUAAAGUGCUUCUAACAAGUAUGGCUCAGCACUGACUACACUGUGUGUGUGCUGGAGGCUUCAGUUUUGAGAAGAGAGGAUUCUCCCAGCUCCCUGGACAGACUUCUGGACAUGUUGCAGGGCUGUUGCAGUGCUUGUAUUUGUGGGGAGUGAGUUUGACCACAAUGUGAAGAGAAGCCCAGUGUCUGAGUGUGUGACCCUGGCCAUAUUUUGCUAUGCCAGCUUGACAGGUCUCUAGUUGGGAUGCAGUGUGAGCAUGAGGCUGGAGUUGGACUGACCAAAUGGAAGGCCCAUCCUGCUCUGGGAAGUCACAGAUGUCCCCUCCAGGUGUUAAACCAGAUGAUUCUUGUGGAUCCCCUCGGACAUUUGGAGCCAGCAGUGAAG
rnacentral:lncRNA from 1 species